rnacentral:rRNA from 1 species
GACCAGACUCGCCCGCGGGGUUCAGCCGGCAUUCGUGCCGGUGUACUUCCCCGUGGGCGGGCCAGCGUCGGUUUGGGCGGCCGGUCAAAGGCCCCUGGAAUGUAGUGCCCUCCGGGGCACCUUAUAGCCAGGGGUGCAAUGCGGCCAGCCUGGACCGAGGAACGCGCUUCGGCACGGACGCUGGCAUAAUGGUCGUAAACGACCCGUCUUGA